rnacentral:rRNA from 1 species
UGGGCGUAAGGGUGCGUAGGCGGCGCGGUAAGUCGGGUGUGAAAUCUCGGAGCUUAACUCCGAAACUGCAUUCGAUACUGCCGUGCUUGAGGACUGGAGAGGAGACUGGAAUUUACGGUGUAGCGGUGAAAUGCGUAGAUAUCGUAAGGAAGACCAGUGGCGAAGGCGGGUCUCUGGACAGUUCCUGACGCUGAGGCACGAAGGUCAGGGGAGCAAACGGGAUUAGAUACCCCGGUAGUCCUGACAGUAAACGGUGCACGUUUGGUGUGGGAGGAUUCGACCCCUUCUGCGCCGGAGCUAACGCGUUAAACGUGCCGCCUGGGGAGUACGGUCGCAAGAUUAAAACUCAAAGAAAUUGACGGGGGCCCGCACAAGCGGUGGAGUAUGUGGCUCAAUUCGAUGCAACGCGAAGAACCUUACCAGGCCUUGACAUGCAUCUCUAAGUUGGUGAAAGCCAGCGAGUCCCGAAAGGGACAAUUUGCACAGGUGCUGCAUGGCUGUCGUCAGCUCGUGUCGUGAGAUGUUGGGUUAAGUCCCGCAACGAGCGCAACCCCUGUGAACUGUUGCCACGGAACCGAGAGGUUCCAGCACUCUGUUCAGACUGCCCCGCUCUAACGGGGAGGAAGGU